UACGAGGGGGGCGAGCGUUGUUCGGAAUUAUUGGACGUAAAGGGUGCGUAGGCGGUUUGUCGCGUCUGCUGUGAAAACCCGAGGCUCAACCUCGGGCCUGCAGUGGGUACGGGCAGACUAGAGUGCGGUAGGGGAGAUUGGAAUUCCUGGUGUAGCGGUGGAAUGCGCAGAUAUCAGGAGGAACACCAAUGGCGAAGGCAGAUCUCUGGGCCGUAACUGACGCUGAGGAGCGAAAGCAUGGGGAGCGAACAGG
rnacentral:rRNA from 1 species